CUAGGUAACUAUGCUCUUUGAGGAAUGUAUCUGAGUAACCAUGACAACUUCUGUAAUCUGUCACCAAAGGAGCAUAAAGGACUCAGAAAGUCCUGCCCGAACUCUUUGCAUCUCACCCUCAUAUCCGCUGUUCUGAUUUGUGUAAAUCUUGCUUGCUACGUUCCCAGGGAAACUCCUAUGAAAAGACAUGUCUGUGGAUGGAAGCAUAGACGAGGACAAAGAGCUCCGUUCAUCACUGCUCCCUGAGAACAUGGCCCAAACCCUGCCCUCCCAUGAUGAGGAUGGAGGAAGACAAAAGGGAGAGCAACCCCAGAAACUGCACGUGCCUCAGUGUGGAUGUAUGAGAAUGAACAUACCAAAGCAAGCGACUUCUGAGGAGGCGAGCUUCUCCAGCAUCAGCUUUGUGACAAGCUCGUCUGGAGUGCUGUGACCAUUGAUCAGCACUGACUGAAAAGGACAAGAAGCAAAGAUACUGAACGAUACUGUAUAAUAUACCUGUGAUUCAGAGCUUUUUUGGUAAUCAUCAUAACUGAAAUUUAGAUUUACCAUAGCUCCUGGUUCAAUCUCAGCAGCAAUCUGUUCUGAAACUGGUAAAACUAAAACAUGAAUCUACAAUGUUAGCCCAACCUGGUACUAGGAUUGCAGUAUAAGAAACGCAUUUCAAUGUCUUGAAACUGGUAGCAAAGAAGAACAUUCAUUUGUCACUUUAAAAUUUACAAAGGAUAUUUUCAUAUAUCAUGUCAUUUAAGCCUAAACAAAGUAGAGGCAGCAGAAUUAUUCCACAGAGAUCUUGUCUUGGCCACUCAGUAGCUGAAGAAACAUGGGUGAGAGAACUCCCUAACAUACUCUGUACCUUGAGUGCAUGCGCCCUGUGCAGUAUAGAAG
rnacentral:lncRNA from 1 species